rnacentral:lncRNA from 1 species
UUUGAAUGUGUGUUUGUGAAUUUGGUUUGCUUUGUGUUGUGAUGAUGUUGGAUGAGGAUCGGUUUAAGUUUGAUAAAGAUUAGAUUUGGUUUUUUCAGGAAAAGCAUUUUAAAGAUGCAAUGUUUUUUAGAUUUGAAAUUGUUUAGUGUUUGAUUUCUGAAUGUGGUUGGAAAUUGAAACAGGUUAUGAAUAUUGAAACAGGUUCUUAUUAGGAUUUGAAUAUGUUAUUGCUGAGAUUUGAGUAGAGUAUUUUUUUU